UCAAUGCCAGCUGCUUCCCUUCUCUAUCUCUAACCCCACUCACUGUACUCUCUAGUCCCUGAUAAAACCCCCUGUUUUCGAUAGCUCCAUUCUUUAUUUCUUUAUUUUGGUUUCUCAACUUCUUAUUACUAUUCUUCUACUGUUCUGUACGUAUUACUCUGCAUCUCUAUUUUUUUUUUCUAAGGGCUGCUGCAAGAAACCAACAAGAAGUGUAA
rnacentral:misc_RNA from 1 species